CCUGAGUACGACGGAGCACGUGAAAUUCCGUCGGAAUCUGGGAGGACCAUCUCCUAAGGCUAAAUACUCUCUAGUGACCGAUAGUGAACCAGUACCGUGAGGGAAAGGUGAAAAGUACCCCGGAAGGGGAGUGAAAGAGAACUUGAAACCGUGUGCUUACAAGUAGUCAGAGCCCGUUAAUGGGUGAUGGCGUGCCUUUUGUAGAAUGAACCGGCGAGUUACGAUCUGAUGCAAGGUUAAGCAGAAAAUGUGGAGCCGUAGCGAAAGCGAGUCUGAAUAGGGCGAAUGAGUAUUUGGUCGUAGACCCGAAACCAGGUGAUCUACCCUUGGUCAGGUUGAAGUUCAGGUAACACUGAAUGGAGGACCGAACCGACUUACGUUGAAAAGUGAGCGGAUGAACUGAGGGUAGCGGAGAAAUUCCAAUCGAACUUGGAGAUAGCUGGUUCUCUCCGAAAUAGCUUUAGGGCUAGCCUCAAGUGAUGAUUAUUGGAGGUAGAGCACUGUUUGGACGAGGGGCCCCUCUCGGGUUACCGAAUUCAGACAAACUCCGAAUGCCAAAUAAUUUAACUUGGGAGUCAGAAUGUGGGUGAUAAGGUCCAUAUUCGAAAGGGAAACAGCCCAGACCACCAGCUAAGGUCCCAAAAUAUAUGUUAAGUGGAAAAGGAUGUGGCGUUGCCCAGACAACUAGGAUGUUGGCUUAGAAGCAGCCAUCAUUUAAAGAGUGCGUAAUAGCUCACUAGUCGAGUGACACUGCGCCGAAAAUGUACCGGGGCUAAACAUAUUACCGAAGCUGUGGAUUGUCCUUUGGACAAUGGUAGGAGAGCGUUCUAAGGGCGUUGAAGCAUGAUCGCAAGGACAUGUGGAGCGCUUAGAAGUGAGAAUGCCGGUGUGAGUAGCGAAAGACGGGUGAGAAUCCCGUCCACCGAUUGACUAAGGUUUCCAGAGGAAGGCUCGUCCGCUCUGGGUUAGUCGGGUCCUAAGCUGAGGCCGACAGGCGUAGGCGAUGGAUAACAGGUUGAUAUUCCUGUACCACCA
rnacentral:rRNA from 1 species